AUUGAACGCUGGCGGCAUGCUUUACACAUGCAAGUCGAACGGUAACAGGCCUUCGGGUGCUGACGAGUGGCGAACGGGUGAGUAAUGCAUCGGAACGUACCCAGAGGUGGGGGAUAACGCAGCGAAAGCUGUGCUAAUACCGCAUGUGAUCUGAGGAUGAAAGCGGGGGACCGAGCAGCAAUGUUUGGCCUCGCGCCUUUGGAGCGGCCGAUGUCGGAUUAGCUAGUUGGUGGGGUAAAGGCCUACCAAGGCGACGAUCCGUAGCUGGUCUGAGAGGACGACCAGCCACACUGGGACUGAGACACGGCCCAGACUCCUCCGGGAGGCAGCAGUGGGGAAUUUUGGACAAUGGGCGCAAGCCUGAUCCAGCAAUGCCGCGUGCGGGAAGAAGGCCUUCGGGUUGUAAACCGCUUUUGGCAGGAACGAAACGGUGUCCGCUAAUACCGGGCGCUAAUGACGGUACCUGCAGAAUAAGCACCGGCUAACUACGUG
rnacentral:rRNA from 1 species